GUCAAUGCACCUCACAUCAUAUGUACACUUUGCUGAAAAUUAGCGAAGCACGUGUUUUAAUACAAUGAAAAAUGCUGAAAUAUCUUUGUGACUGAGGAAGAGUUUUUUGAUGAUUAUAUUGCAGUGAAGCAUAAAAAAUCUCAGCCUUUUCAUACAAGAACAUACAACUAGCAUGCAAAUACUGGGGUGACUACAAAGAUGAAUGUGGUUACAUCGCUUAAAUUUGCAAGCAACUGUAUAAUCCUCGAUCCACAAGGUUUUCUUCCUGUCAUGUAAAGUCCAUAUAUCUAAUUGAUUCUGCUUGCGGAAAUAAUCCAUUAUGGAGAGAUGUCCCAUCACUUCGAUCAUUGAGUUCUUGCCGUUAUCACCCUUUGUCAAGAAUGAAAGUUGUCUCUACGAAUUCCUCUGCUGAAAGGUCUCUGCAAAUUCCUCUGUUGAGGUCCAAAAGUAAAUAUAGAAACUGAUCAAGAUGGUAGGUGAAGCUUGAGGUCCUAAGUAAAGCUAAUACUUGAGAUGAUAAAUGAAGCAUAAUACCUAAUGGUAGAACACAACUACUAUAAGUAAGAGACCUGUAAGUAUAGUUUCAGCAGUUCAAAACAAGUGUUUCUCUCCAUUGUUUGACAAGAUCAUCAAUCUAUCAAAUUAUUCAAGAAGAAGACGUAGGAUGGAAGGCAAAGGUGUACGUUCCCGCCUUACUGUGAUUAUGGGUGUACUCAGACUGGCCGGGUUUGGUUGUAGCACAGACCCAAGUAGAGGCUUUUGAGGUUUGUUGCAAGACCAUCCAGGACAGGAAUCAAUGGCUACUCUGUCUUUCAUUGGGUAGCGGCUAUGGAGAUUGUCUGAGGUGGGUCGGUAGUGGAAAAUGUAUACGCAAAACAGGGAAUACUUGCCCCCGUGAUUAGCCUUUAGUAACUAAAAACUCUCUCGAAAACUCUGGUAAAAUGAACUCAUUAUAUUUAUUUUCUUUCUUCAGUUGUUAUAGGAGAUAUUCCAUUUUAAGGGUGAUUUAGGUUUUGGUCACCACUUUUUAGUAUAAAUUAGGUUUUGGAGCCGGUUUUUUUCUUUAUUAGGGUUUAGAGCUGAACCGACAAUUGACCCAAGUAAUUGUUUAUAAUGGCCAAAAUACCCCUGAUCAAAACUAUAUUAGGGUUAGUGAUCACGUGCAGAUCACGUGAGUUUCAGGGGUAAACUUAGGUAUUUUAAAAAUAUUUUCGGUUCAACCGGGUUUUUUUAGUUGUUGGUUCGAAAAUGAGCUCUAAACCCUAAUAAAGAAAAAAACCGGCUCCAAAACCUAAUUUAUACUAAAAAGUGGUGACCAAAACCUAAAUCACCCCCAUUUUAAUGCAUUUUGUACGUUGAUUUCAGAUGCCUUCAAUGACUACUGCAAAUUGGGAUGUGUAUCUUCCGUAUGCAGUGCCAUAAGCACUCUCCGGAACUCUGGUAAAACGAACUCAUUAUUUCUAUUUUGGUUCUUUUACUUCUUUGUUACAAACAAGAGAUUCCAUUCUAAUGCAAGUUGUAUUCAAUUUGGGAACUAGAUGCUGGUGAGGAAGUGGUGAAAGCGGUGGAACAUUGUAACAAUGCAUGCUCUGAAUUUCUCCAGGAAGGGUUCCAAUAUUGCACUUGUUGCUGCUUGAGCAUAUGCAUGCACAGAUAUGAAGUCAAAGCCAAGCCAUCUUCAUCUUAAGUGGUGUUCUAUCUAUUUUCAAUAAUUGAUAUCAUGUAUGCUAGACCCUGCUGUCGGUAUAUAUGUUGUUUUCGUUUUGUGCAUCGUAUGCCAAGGAAGGCUUAUCACUGUAUCGAUCUCUUCUACCAAAUAAAGAGUAUUGUGUGUAUUCUUCUUCGGCGUCAUUUAUUUACUUCCUCGUUAACAUGAAGGAAACAAAUUAAGGCUACAAGUUUGUGCACAAUCAAAUUGAAAAAAUAAAAAUAAAAUAACAAACAAAUGUUUUGUGGCAGAAUGUUUUAGACUUUUCAUUUUUGUGACAAGAUUGAAGUUCCCCAUCUGUUCUCAAGAUGACAAUAGUAUGAGGCAUCGAGAAAGUUUAAAUGAGUUUCAAAUAAAAAUUGGAAACAUGGCAUUCAAAACUAUAUGCACAAAACUUAGUCUUCAAAUUGGUUUAAACAUCCAUUUUCUCAAGAUUGAAAUUAAACCGUCCUUAUAUGUUUGAACAGAAGCAUCAUCGAUCAAAGUCCAGCCCCAAGUACAAAACAGAUAACCAUCAGUAUCUAUGGCAGGAAGAAUUCUACAGUUGUGUGUGACAGGAUAUGCAUUAGUCCAUCACAAGAAGCACUACUAAUGCAUAGUUCUUAUUCCUUUUGUGUUGUUUUGAGUACUAGAAUUUGCUCAAAAUCCCCUUCAUGGCGACUAGAGAUGGUCAUAAACAAAUUUUGGCUCAGAAGUUAAUCUAUACCAAGGCUUGAACACAGCCUUAAAAGCGAUGAGGAUCUCUGCAGAAAUUGUUACAAGUGUUUCGUAGAUAAUUUCUGCAGGGAGAUGAACUUGUUUCAUGCUUUCAUUGCAUUGUUCUAUUUUGCCUAUUUUCUAUGGUGUUUCUCCCCAUUCACUUCUCAUCCUUUCUGAAUUUAUUCUUACUGCUCUUUUACUUAAUGAAAUUAUUAUGGCUCAUGAGUGUGCUAUACUGCUAUGGACACCAUUCAAACUCAUAUAAUACUACAUUUGUAAAAUAUAUACAUUUUGGAAAACUUGAGCUUAUCUAUCAAUACUAGAGAGAGAAAAAACACAAAUAAUGCAAUCAAACUAUAAGCAAAUCGUACAUACAACAUAGAGAGAUGAGAAGAAGUUGACCUGAUUUAUUGCUGUGAAAUUUGUAAGGGAAAUCAAAGUAUGCUUCCUCAGUUCCUCUAAAUGCUAUUGUUCUU
rnacentral:lncRNA from 1 species